AGAAUCAACGCUGGCGGCGUGCCUAACACAUGCAAGUCGAACGCGAAAAUCCCGCAAGGGAUCAGUAGAGUGGCAAACGGGUGAGUAACGCGUGGGCGACCUACCUUCGAGUGGGGGAUAACCUUCCGAAAGGAGGGCUAAUACCGCAUGACAUCCCGCUUUUAGAUAAGUGGAGAUCAAAGCUGGGGAUCGCAAGACCUGGCGCUUGAAGAGGGGCCCGCGUCCGAUUAGCUAGUUGGUGAGGUAACGGCUCACCAAGGCUCCGAUCGGUA
rnacentral:rRNA from 1 species